ACUGGCACAAGGUGGUGAACUCAGUGCCUGUUUUGUAAAUAAAGUUUUAUUGGCACAUGGUCACAUUCAUUCACUUCCAGAUGGUCGGCUGCUUUCCUGCUGCAAGGUCAGGGCACAGGGGCAGA